rnacentral:rRNA from 1 species
CUGCAUGGAGCCGACCUUGAAAUACCACCCUUUAAUGUUUGAUGUUCUAACGUUGACCCGUAAUCCGGGUUGCGGACAGUGUCUGGUGGGUAGUUUGACUGGGGCGGUCUCCUCCUAAAGAGUAACGGAGGAGCACGAAGGUUGGCUAAUCCUGGUCGGACAUCAGGAGGUUAGUGCAAUGGCAUAAGCCAGCUUGACUGCGAGCGUGACGGCGCGAGCAGGUGCGAAAGCAGGUCAUAGUGAUCCGGUGGUUCUGAAUGGAAGGGCCAUCGCUCAACGGAUAAAAGGUACUCCGGGGAUAACAGGCUGAUACCGCCCAAGAGUUCAUAUCGACGGCGGUGUUUGGCACCUCGAUGUCGGCUCAUCACAUCCUGGGGCUGAAGUAGGUCCCAAGGGUAUGGCUGUUCGCCAUUUAAAGUGGUACGCGAGCUGGGUUUAGAACGUCGUGAGACAGUUCGGUCCCUAUCUGCCGUGGGCGCUGGAGAACUGAGGGGGGCUGCUCCUAGUACGAGAGGACCGGAGUGGACGCAUCACUGGUGUUCGGGUUGUCAUGCCAAUGGCACUGCCCGGUAGCUAAAUGCGGAAGAGAUAAGUGCUGAAAGCAUCUAAGCACGAAACUUGCC